UAGCCCAAGAGAUCGGGAUAACACCUGGAAACAGAUGCUAAUACCGGAUAACAACAGAUGAUGCCUAUCAACUGUUUAAAAGAUGGUUCUGCUAUCACUCUUGGAUGGACCUGCGGUGCAUUAGCUAGUUGGUAGGGUAACGGCCUACCAAGGCGAUGAUGCAUAGCCGAGUUGAGAGACUGAUCGGCCACAUUGGGACUGAGACACGGCCCAAACUCCUACGGGAGGCAGCAGUG
rnacentral:rRNA from 1 species